rnacentral:rRNA from 1 species
GACAGAGGGUGCAACCGUUGUUCGGAAUUACUGGGCGUAAAGCGCGUGUAGGCGGCUAAGUAAGUCGGGCGUGAAAUCCCACGGCUCGACCGUGGAAGUGCACUCGAAACUGCAUAGCUAGAGUCCUGGAGAGGAAGGUGGAAUGCUUGGUGUAGAGGUGAAAUUCGUAGAUAUCAAGCGGAACACCGGUGGCGAAGGCGGCCUUCUGGACAGUGACUGACGCUGAGACGCGAAAGCGUGGGGAGCAAACAGG